ACGCGUGGAACCUUACCAGGUCUUGACAUCCUCUGACAACCCUAGAGAUAGGGCGUUCCCCUUCGGGGGACAGAGUGACAGGUGGUGCAUGGUUGUCGUCAGCUCGUGUCGUGAGAUGUUGGGUUAAGUCCCGCAACGAGCGCAACCCUUGUUCUUAGUUGCCAUCAUUUAGUUGGGCACUCUAAGGAGACUGCCGGUGACAAACCGGAGGAAGGUGGGGAUGACGUCAAAUCAUCAUGCCCCUUAUGACCUGGGCUACACACGUGCUACAAUGGACGGUACAAACGGUUGCCAACCCGCGAGGGGGAGCUAAUCCGAUAAAACCGUUCUCAGUUCGGAUUGUAGGCUGCAACUCGCCUGCAUGAAGCCGGAAUCGCUAGUAAUCGCGGAUCAGCAUGCCGCGGUGAAUACGUUCCCGGGCCUUGCACACACCGCCCGU
rnacentral:rRNA from 1 species